rnacentral:misc_RNA from 1 species
GGGUGUUGCAAGCACUGCUGUGCAGUUGGUCGAUUCUCAGGCUCAAAAUCAAGAAGGGGACAAAGAAAUUUGGCAAAUUCAAGAGCAUCAAUUUCAGAAAACCUGAACUUGUCGAUAAGUAAUUUUUCUAAAGACCCAUACUUCAGCCUCCGGAUCCUCUUCAAAUCUCCAUAUCUGUCAAAGUAAUCUUUAGAUCGAGCCCCACCAUUGGCUAUCUUCCGAGGUAUCUUUCCUAGAAGCUCCAUCAUCAUAGCAAGGUGAUCCUCAUCUUCACUGAAACCUUGUCCACCUUUGGGUGUGAACAUCAUCUCACCAGUGGCAAGCUCAAACGCAAUACAAGCAAAAGACCACAUGUCAGCAGAGAAUGAAUAUCCAGACUGAAGUAUAACUUCUGGAGAUCUAUACUGUCGUGUCUGAAUUUCUUGUGCAAACUGCUUGUCAGCCCAGCAUGCACUUCCAAAAUCCACAACCUUGCACUUCAAGUCAAUACCAUCGAGACUUCUAUUUGUUUUCGCACCUCCUCCUACCCCACCCAUUGAAGACCGUCUACCGGAUAUCCUGGCUGCUGCCCUCCUUGCCCUUUGUUUUAGCUUUUUCUCAAUAAUAUUCAUAGUUGCUCCUCCCUUUGGGAUCCCUUCAGGCCUUUCAAGUAUGGGCGGUGUUCCCGAUCUAAUUGGAUCCUUUGUGGCAUUUAUCGUGGAAAG